rnacentral:rRNA from 1 species
CACGUAUUUAGCCGGAGCUUCCUAGUCAGGUACCGUCAUUUUCUUCCCUGCUGAUAGAGCUUUACAUACCGAAAUACUUCUUCACUCACGCGGCGUUGCUGCAUCAGGGUUCCCCCCAUUGUGCAAUAUUCCCCACUGCUGCCUCCCGUAGGAGUUUGGGCCGUGUCUCAGUCCCAAUGUGGCCGUCCACUCUCUCAAGCCGGCUACUGAUCGUUGUCUUGGUAGGCCGUUACCCUGCCAACUAACUAAUCAGACGCGGGCCCAUCCUGUACCACCGGAGUUUUUCCUGCUGUACCAUGCGGCACCGUAGGCUUAUGCGGUAUUAGCAGCCGUUUCCAGCUGUUGUCCCCCUGUACAGGGCAGGUUACCCACGCGUUACUCACCCGUCCGCCACUCAGUCCUGCGCAUCUUCCCUCCGGAGAGUUCCGCCGCGCAGUCUUCGUCGACUUGCAUGUGUUAGGCACGCCGCCAGCGUUCAUCCUGAGCCAGGAUCAAACUCU